rnacentral:pre_miRNA from 1 species
AAAAAGAUAAACCCUGGGUUUUCGUGUCCAACUUUAACGGUCCGUCUUAUAUGAAAUUUUUUUAUAAUUCGUAUUUUCAUUAUUGUUAGAUGAUAAAACAUGAUUAAUAUUUUAUGCGUGACUUGUCUUUUUAUUUUUUUCAUAAUUUUUUCAAAUAAGACGGACGGUCAAACGUUAAACACGGAAACU